CCUACGGGUGGCAGCAGUGGGGAAUAUUGCACAAUGGGGGAAACCCUGAUGCAGCGACGCCGCGUGAGGGAAGAAGUAUUUCGGUACGUAAAGCUCUAUCAGCAGGGAAGAAAAUGACGGUACCUGACUAAGACUCCCCGGCUAACUACGUGCCAGCAGCCGCGGUAAUACGUAGGGGGCAAGCGUUAUCCGGAUUUACUGGGUGUAAAGGGAGCGGAGACGGCAGCGCAAGUCUGGAGUGAAAUCCCAUGGCUUAACCAGGGAACUGCUUUGGAAACUGUGCAGCUAGAGUGCAGGAGAGGGAAGUGGAAUUCCUAGUGUAGCGGUGAAAUGCGUAGAUAUUAGGAGGAACACCAGUGGCGAAGGCGGCUUACUGGACUGUAACUGACGUUGAGGCUCGAAAGCGUGGGGAGCAAACAGGAUUAGAUACCCCUGUAGUC
rnacentral:rRNA from 1 species